AGAGAAUUUAGAACAUCCAUAAAUGCACGUCCUAGUGCAUCUUUUGGGUUAUCCACAUGAAUAUUAAAAUCACCAACGAUAAGAGCUUUAUCUACAGUGACUACAAGCUCAGACAGGAAAUCUGCCAUUUCUUUAAGGAAAUCUGCAUGGUGGCCCGGAGGUCUAUAGAUUUUAGCUAAGGCAAAAGAGAGCUGUUUGUGGUUACGAUCGGUUAUUUCCAUAUUUAACAACAUUAGUUCGAAUGAUUUAAAUUUUACUUCAGAUUUUUGGUUUACUUUAAAAAUGUUGUUGUAUAUUGUAGCUACACCACCCCCUCUCCCCUUUAAUCGAGGUUCAUGUUUAUAAUAAUAGUCUUGUGGGGUGGAUUCGUUUAAACUAAUGUAGUCGUCUGCUUUAAGCCAGGUUUCUGUUAAACAGAGUGCAUCUAAGUUUUGGUCUGUAACUAUUUCAUUGACAAUAGGUUCUUUAUUGGUAAGCGAUCUAAUGUUAAGAAGGCCGAAUUUUAACAUUCAAGGUUCAUCUGUUAAUGUAUUGUUUUCUAAUUUUAUAUUAAUCAGAUUUGUACCAGAUGUGGCAAGCGGUGCUCUGUAUUUAUUUGUUCGGGGAACAGAUACAGUUGAAAUGUGUUGAUAUUCUGGUAAAGUUAAGUUCACACUACAUGAUUUUAAGCCAGAUUUAAGCCCGAUUUGCAAGUCGUUCGCUCGCCGACAGGUCGGGGUGUGAUCGGGUGCAAAUCGCGGGGGAUUAGCGGGCGAUCGACGUUCGCGAAUCUGUUGGUAUGAAAGAGCCAACAACGCAUCAAAGACGCUCGCAGACGCGUCGCCGACACCAGAAAAAUAUCUAGCAUGCUAGAUAUCUGGAGCUGUCGCGCGACUCAACCUCCUGUGAUGUCACGAGCUACAGCCAAUCCGACCAGGGGUUGAGGUCACACGGAAAGAUGAGUAGCAUGUCACAGUUAUGAAUGCCUGUAUGACGUUUCACAUAUAUGUACUACAACUGCGCUGAGAAAAAGAAACGGUGGAGAGAAAUAGCAAACGCUGUAAAACAGCCAGACUUUACUUUUGCACAAGUGGACUCACAAACAACUACAUCAACUUCAUUUGGGAACCAUAGCUUUGGAAUUGAGGGAUAUUGAAGACCCAGUUCUCUCAUCACAUCUCAAAAGAAGCAUAAUUGUGAUGAUAUACAACGGCCAGGAGACUGACAAAAGUGGAUCAAUGUUGUCACCUGAACAACCUACCUUAUGCAUACAUGACAUGUGCGGUCCCGAUGUGUUUUUGUUUACAACAAACUAUUGACUUUACUAUGUAUUACAUUUAUCAAUAAGGUGAUUAAACUUGUUAAAGGGUUUAGAUUGAAUUUCCCAGUGGUGUUUCAUGAAAUAAAUGGUCUAUCGAAAGUAAUACAUUUAAUGCUACAAAGUAUAAAAGUAUUAAACAAAUUGAGUCAUAUUUUACAAAAACAGGCAAUAUGAAUAGUGCUUUAGUGCAAUGUAGUACAUUAGAAUGUAUAUUAUGUGAACAGACAAAAUAUACAUUGUUAGAACACAUGCAGUGUGCCACAUUAACACAAUUAAACAUUACAAAACUCCCUGUGUAGAGCUCCUUUAAGGGCUGGGUGAUAUAUAAAUAUCAUAAUAUAAUUGUGUGUGAUUGGCUGUUAGAUUAAUCCACAUUGAGUAAAAAUGCCCAGAGCUUAUCAUCACAAUCGCCAUAAAUUUUAUCAUGAUCAGAUAUGUUGAUGUUUAAUCGCCCUAGUAUAGAAACAUUGUUAAUGUUCUGUGAAUAAUGAGUGUGGAUCAAGAAAUAAAGUUUGUAUAAGGCACUUAAUUGCAA